rnacentral:rRNA from 1 species
UGAGGAAUAUUGGUCAAUGGGCGAGAGCCUGAACCAGCCAAGUAGCGUGCAGGAUGACGGCCCUAUGGGUUGUAAACUGCUUUUAUGUGGGGAUAAAGUGCGUGACGUGUCAUGCAUUGCAGGUACCACAUGAAUAAGGACCGGCUAAUUCCGUGCCAGCAGCCGCGGUAAUACGGAAGGUCCGGGCGUUAUCCGGAUUUAUUGGGUUUAAAGGGAGCGUAGGCUGUCUAUUAAGCGUGUUGUGAAAUUUACCGGCUCAACCGGUGGCUUGCAGCGCGAACUGGUCAACUUGAGUAUGCAGGAAGUAGGCGGAAUUCAUGGUGUAGCGGUGAAAUGCUUAGAUAUCAUGACGAACUCCGAUUGCGCAGGCAGCUUACUGUAGCAUAACUGACGCUGAUGCUCGAAAGUGCGGGUAUCAAACAGG